AGAGUUUGAUCCUGGCUCAGGAUGAACGCUGGCGGCGUGCCUAAUACAUGCAAGUCGAACGAAGGUACUUGUACCUUAGUGGCGAACGGGUGAGUAACACGUAGGUAAUCUGCCCUCAAGACGAGGAUAACUGUUGGAAACGACAGCUAAUACUGGAUAGGUAUAUAGGAGGCAUCUCUUUUAUAUUAAAGGACCACUGGUAUGCUUGGGGAUGAACCUGCGGCGCAUUAGUUAGUUGGUGAGGUAAUGGCUCACCAAGACGAUGAUGCGUAGCCGGACUGAGAGGUUGAACGGCCACAUUGGGACUGAGACACGGCCCAAACUCCUACGGGAGGCAGCAGUAGGGAAUUUUCGGCAAUGGAGGAAACUCUGACCGAGCAACGCCGCGUGAAUGAAGACAUAUUUCGGUAUGUAAAGUUCUUUUAUUAGGGAAGAAUAGCCCAUGGAAAAAUGGGUGUGACGGUACCUAAUGAAUAAGCCCCGGCUAACUAUGUGCCAGCAGCCGCGGUAAUACGGAGGGGGUUAGCGUUGUUCGGAAUUACUGGGCGUAAAGCGCGCGUAGGCGGACCAGAAAGUUGGGGGUGAAAUCCCGGGGCUCAACCCCGGAACGGCCUCCAAAACUCCUGGUCUUGAGUUCGAGAGAGGUGAGUGGAAUUCCGAGUGUAGAGGUGAAAUUCGUAGAUAUUCGGAGGAACACCAGUGGCGAAAGCGGCUCACUGGCUCGAUACUGACGCUGAGGUGCGAAAGUGUGGGGAGCAAACAGGAUUAGAUACCCUGUAGUCCACACCGUAAACGAUGAAUGCCAGUCGUCGG
rnacentral:rRNA from 1 species